rnacentral:rRNA from 1 species
CAGGACGAACGCUGGCGGCGUGCUUAACACAUGCAAGUCGAGCGGUAAGGCCCUUCGGGGUACACGAGCGGCGAACGGGUGAGUAACACGUGAGCAACCUGCCCCUGACUCCGGGAUAAGCGGUGGAAACGCCGUCUAAUACCGGAUACGACCCGCCACCUCAUGGUGGAGGGUGGAAAGUUUUUCGGUCAGGGAUGGGCUCGCGGCCUAUCAGCUUGUUGGUGGGGUAACGGCCUACCAAGGCGAUUACGGGUAGCCGGCCUGAGAGGGCGACCGGCCACACUGGGACUGAGACACGGCCCAGACUCCUGCGGGAGGCAGCAGUGGGGAAUAUUGCGCAAUGGGCGAAAGCCUGACGCAGCGACGCCGCGUGGGGGAUGACGGCCUUCGGGUUGUAAACCUCUUUUACCACCAACGCAGGCUCGAAGUUCUCUUCGGGUUGACGGUAGGUGGGGAAUAAGGACCGGCUAACUACGUGCCAGCAGCCGCGGUAAUACGUAGGGUCCGAGCGUUGUCCGGAAUUAUUGGGCGUAAAGAGCUCGUAGGCGGCGUGUCGCGUCUGCUGUGAAAGACCGGGGCUUAACUCCGGUUCUGCAGUGGAUACGGGCAUGCUAGAGGUAGGUAGGGGAGACUGGAAUUCCUGGUGUAGCGGUGAAAUGCGCAGAUAUCAGGAGGAACACCGGUGGCGAAGGCGGGUCUCUGGGCCUUACCUGACGCUGAGGAGCGAAAGCAUGGGGAGCGAACAGGAUUAGAUACCCUGGUAGUCCAUGCCGUAAACGUUGGGCGCUAGGUGUGGGGACUUUCCACGGUUUCCGCGCCGUAGCUAACGCAUUAAGCGCCCCGCCUGGNGAGUACGGCCGCAAGGCUAAAACUCAAAGGAAUUGACGGGGGCCCGCACAAGCGGCGGAGCAUGUUGC